UUCCUCUCUCUUCUCACCCUCUGACCUAAGUCCUCAGCGCCGCCCGCCGAAAUUCGCCGCCGACGGCAACCAACAUUCAAUCCACCCCAAAAUCUCACAAUCUCUUCCUCUCACUCCCCUCAUUCCAAAUCUGCAACCUAAAUCCCCCAAAUCUCCACCAAUAAUCGAAAAAAUCAAACCCUAGUCAUGUCGUCACCACUGCUGCCCGUCAUCCAAACUAUACCAAAAUUGCACCACAUCCUUCUCUUCUCACUCUCUCUCUAUUUCCCAAACUCAAAAUCCUCAAAAACCUCACCACCGGCGGCCACCACCUUCAUUGUCUUCCUCCAACCACGAACCUCUAUUUUUGCUAUUUUUGACUCAAAGACCUUUGUUUCUUUUGGAAAUAUACUGAAACCCCUUUGUUUUAGCGUCUUCCCGAAAGAAACAUGCAUUUCGAAGUCAGACACCUGCAUCUUGGAAUCUCCGACGUCUUCUCGCGGCUCGAAUAACUUCAAGCACGCUCGUUAGGUAUCUUUGUCAUCUCUUUACUUAAUUUUUGAUUUUUUAAUGGGUUAGUCCAGAUUGUAGCUUAGCUUCUGAUUUUUCUUUCCUUUUUUUUUUUGCUUCUUGUUAAUCAGAGUCUCAAUUUAGGUUUAUUUAAUUAGUUAUCUCUAUUUUGUUUAGUUUAUUAUUAUUGAUCAAAUGGGAUCUUUAGUGUAUUAGUUAAAAUAUUUACUUAGUUAAUCAAUUUUUUAGUUGUUGAAUGUCGUCGUUUCGAUUGGUAACAAUGCUCGUUUAAUUUCUGUAUUAAGCACUAGUUUGUGAAUUAAAUUGUUUUCUAUGUUUGUUUCUACAAAUUAAAUUAAUUUCAAUCUAUUUUGUCUGAAUACUUAGUUCGAUUGCAACUUGAUUCUUGUUUUCACUUUGCUAGUUUAUAUUUGAUUGGAGUUUGAGUCUAUACGCUGAAUUUCAGUCAUGUAUAGAUAAAAGCUGAAAACUUGAGUUUAAAGUACGUGUUUGUUGGAUAUUUUACUGUUUAAGCAUGCUGGAAAUGCAACUGCUUUGCUUUGUGCAAGAAUUUGGUGAAAAAAUGACUGUUUUGGCACACAAAAUUAGCCCUUUUGGACAGAUUUUUGGUUAUCCAAAAGGACUUAUUUUUCCUAUUUAAAGAGGUGAUUCUUUCACACUAAGAGAGGACACUCCAACAUAUUUAACCAUCACACUCUAAGAAAACACAAAGCUUUAAGAAAAAUUAGCAGCUAAAACAUCGAAAAGUGAGCUAAAAACUAAAAGCUUAUGAGUUCUUUCUUUCUUUUCUAAGUCGGUGAGCUUUUGGUUUGUAUUUCUGGGUCUCUUUGGGCUUAAAAGACUGAUGUUCGGCUGUUGUUUCCUUUGGCUGGAGUUUGGCUUGCUGGUUCCCUGCUCUGCUAUCUGUUUUUCUUCUAUUUUCUGCAAACUAGUUUUUUUUUUCCAACUCUUUAGUUUAGCUCUUAGUUGCAUAAAGCUAUUGCAAUGAAUGUGUUGAUGUAUUAUUAUUUUUACUUUACAUUUUGGUUAAAUCAUUUACUUAUAAAUGAGUGUUCAAACUUCAUGAAACAUGCGUUCUCUUUUCCUUAAAGUUCCAGCUUCUUCUAACUUCUCUAUAAGUUAAAAGUUGUACAUGAGUUAUUUAGUUGCUAAGAGAUUCUGCUAUUAAAUCUAGCUCGUAUAAUGGCACAAUUUAGUUUAAAGAACAAGUGCUUGUAAGAUAGAUUUUAAUUCUUCCGAUAGUUAUAGCUUGGAGUAAAUAUUUGUGUUUAGUUUAAAACUCAUCAGUGAAACAUACUUAGUAUUUUGAUAUACCCUGAAUAAAGGAAAGUCUAUUUCUAUUUUGAGAAUUAGAAUAUUUAGUACAUCAUGUUGGUCCUUAUUUUUAAAGUUGGAAAUCCCGGUCAUUUGGGUCAAGGUAAAUGAAUUCAUGUUACUAGGAAUUGAUCAUUUAUGUUUAAGUCAUUGGAUCACUAUUUGAAAUUAAAAGAAAUCAUAUAAUGAAUUAUGUUUAUUUCUUGUCUUUUUAUUUCUUUAUUUAGUUCGCUGUAUUUUUUUUAUCAAUAAAAUAUAUGUGGCAUUAUUGAUGUGUUUGUGAGUUUUAAACUUUCAUAUUGGAUUGAAAAAGAGGUUGAGAUUUAUUUUUUUAGUUUAAUUAAAAAAUAUAAAAUAGACAAAAAUAAUAUUGGGUAGUGGAUUUGAAAGUAGAAAUAAAAGAAUGUUGGGCUGAAAUACGAGGCCCAACG
rnacentral:lncRNA from 1 species